rnacentral:rRNA from 1 species
GUGCACCAGGCGAGAACCUUCGCAAUGCGGGAAACCGCGACGAGGGACUCCCAGUGCCUACGCUCAGCGUAGGCUGUUCCCGAGCCUAGAAAGCUCGGGGAGUAAGGGCUGGGUAAGACGGGUGCCAGCCGCCGCGGUAAUACCCGCAGCCCGAGUGGUGGCCACUAUUAUUGGGCCUAAAGCGUCCGUAGCCGGCCCGGUAAAUGCCUGGGUAAAUCGUGAGGCCUAACCUCACGAAUUCCGGGUAGACUGCCGGGCUAGGGACCGGAGGAGGGAGAGGGGUACUCCAGGGGUAGGGGUGAAAUCCUGUAAUCCCUGGAGGACCACCGGUGGCGAAGGCGCUCUCCUAGGACGGGUCCGACGGUGAGGGACGAAAGCCAGGGGAGCGAACCGGAUUAGAUACCCCGGUAGU